AGAUAAACCGACUGCAACUCAAAGACACAUCUGAAACUGACAGAUCAGUGAAUUCUCAGGAUCAUCUACUCUUUUGCUUGUAUUUCUGCACAUCAACCUGAAGUAAAGUACAUCAUUGUAAGAUGGGUGGAGGCAUCAGCCAGGAAGAGAAAGAAGCAAAACAAGAAGCCCAGCGGCUCAGGGAAGAAAACAAAAGACUGUCAGCAGAAAAAAGAAAAAUGGAAGAAAACGAAAGACAAAGAAAAGAGAGAGAAAACGAGGAGAAAAAAGUGAAGGAGGAUCAGAGGCGUAAGGAACAAGCAGAGAAGGAAAGAAUUCAGAGAGAAAAACACCAACCAAGAUUCAUAUCGACAUCCUGAACAUGCCUCCAUACUGUACUGAUACAUAUAUGCUUUAAGAUCAUACAAAACUACUGGAUGCUUACUUCACAAUUAAAUUGUAUCUAUUGUAUUGAAAUAUAUUAAUAAAACUAACAAUGACAAA